UACGGGGGGAGCAAGCGUUGUUCGGAUUUACUGGGCGUAAAGGGCGCGUAGGCGGCACCGCAAGUCAGUUGUGAAAUCUCUGGGCUUAACCCAGAAAGGUCAACUGAUACUGCGGGGCUAGAGUGCAGAAGGGGCAACUGGAAUUCUCGGUGUAGCGGUGAAAUGCGUAGAUAUCGAGAGGAACACCUGCGGCGAAGGCGGGUUGCUGGGCUGACACUGACGCUGAUGUGCGAAAGCUAGGGGAGCGAACGGG
rnacentral:rRNA from 1 species